rnacentral:rRNA from 1 species
CCUACGGGUGGCAGCAGUGAGGAAUAUUGGUCAAUGGACGAGAGUCUGAACCAGCCAAGUAGCGUGAAGGAUGACUGCCCUAUGGGUUGUAAACUUCUUUUAUAUGGGAAUAAAAUGUUCCACGUGUGGGAUUUUGUAUGUACCAUAUGAAUAAGGAUCGGCUAACUCCGUGCCAGCAGCCGCGGUAAUACGGAGGAUCCGAGCGGUAUCCGGAUUUAUUGGGUUUAAAGGGAGCGUAGGUGGGUUGUUACGUCAGUUGUGAAAGUUUGCGGCUCAACCGUAAAAUUGCAGUUGAAACUGGCAGUCUUGAGUACAGUAGAGGUGUGCGAAAUUCGUGGUGUAGCGGUGAAAUGCUUAUAUAUCACGAAGAACUCCGAUUGCGAAGGCAGUUCACUGGACUGCAACUGACACUGAGGCUCGAAAGUGUGGGUAUCAAACAGGAUUAGAUACCCGUGUAGUC